UGAGAUCUGUUACGUUGCUGUUAUUAGAGUGACGUGAAUUCGCAAUAAACGUUCAGCACGGUUCGCCCGUCGUUAAUUACGCCCGUUUCGACGAAACGCAAGAGAGUACAAUCAGUGGCCGAGCAGACGACGAAAUCGACAGUUGGAGGAUCACCGUCGACAACUGAAACAUUCCGAUAUCGUGUUCGUACAGUGGACGUACACCAUGCUACCGAGUUAAGUCGUCGUCGAGUCAGAUUUGUCGAGUAUUUUUGUUAUUGGCCACGCGGUUAGCAACGAAUGGCUAUCGAAAAGUCGUCGGAAAGAAACGUAAUAGUAACGAAAGCAAAUGACAAAGAGAAUAAUUAUCGAAAAAUUUUCUCUUUAAGUUGCUUCAACCUUAGAAGCCUGAUUUUCCAAAUUCAAGGGCUAAGUAAGUGAUUUUGUGAUAUCUUAUUACUAUAUACUGUGAAGCGAGCUGCCUAGUCCCCUUGUCCCGGCCCCCUUCGGCUUGUUGACACUCGGCAACUUAACUUGGAAGCACUGUACGUAUGACUUAUGGAGACGUCGCGUGAACUAUAUCGAUAACGUAUCGUUUAGGAAAAUAUCUGUCAAUUCCUCGAAUAAAUUAACCGAUUUCUGCGGUUAAUACGCAUAUUCUGAGUGGAGUUUGCACUUUGCGGUGGCGAUAGAUAACACGAUCUCUCGGAGAAGAAAGUCAACUUCGGUAGAAGGAUGAUAAUUAAUAAUUGUUGACAGCGUGGUUUCAAUUACGACGCUCUCGAAUGGUUUCGGUCGUCAUUUUUGGGAUUUCUUGGGAAAUCCGAUGUGAAGAAGAGUAGUGCUAGGUAGAUGGAGCUGUUUUAUUUAGUGACAAUGAAUUUGGAAAUAAUGUUUACAUUCUGCCGCGUCCAACUUCGCGCGUAACGUUGUAAAAUAACCAAAAAUCAAGAAACGGACUUGUAAUUCUUUACGAUUUACAUAAUUCGUAACCGUUUCCAAGGAAAUAUGACGCGUUCCUUGUAACAAAGAGCGAUGAAAAAUAUCAUUCAUGGAAGGGAACACGUAAAAUAAUUGCGGAACGUUGUCGAUGAUCGUUAAUAUCUCUUGAGAAGAAAAUACGAAUUACCGUAUACGAUUACAAGUUUAUUAUGCGGAGCUACGUAAGUAUAAUAACACUUCGUAGCAUCUUUUCCUUAAUCAUUGACAAUUGCGUUGUUCCGUCCGUGUGAAUCCGUUGCACUUCAUUUUGUUGCCCAAGGCUGAAGCGAGUAUCGUUGCAUUCCCCGGCGAUGGAAGUGGAUAGCAAUAAUUACCAAACCACUCGAUACCGUUUGCCACGAUUCAUGACAGAAAAUCGAAAGUUUACGAGGAACGAUUCUAAUUAUUAAAUAAACCAAACCGAAACGAUACUAAGCUGUUUCUUGUCCACGAUGAAUGAUCAGUUUACCAACAUCGGUGACAGUAUUCUUGUUUACACGACGAUGCAGAAAUAGUCGUAACGAGAGACGCCAGGAUAAUUGUUUCACGUACCUGAGUCUCGUCUCUAUGACUCAAUUCGAUCUAGGCUGAUAAUUCAUGGGCGAUCUUAAGCAAAAAGAAUUUUAAUCUAUCACGACCUUGGCCUAUCGAGGCAAAUCCUAUCUAUGACUAGCGAGGAAUUUGAUAAUCUACCAGUUGACAACACGUAAAAAAUUUAUUCAAAUUCAACGUGAUCAAACAAAAGUUUCCUAACAUA